GGUUGGAUCCCUGCCCUGUGCGGCGACGUCUGACCUUGCUAUCCUCUUCAUUGUUGCCACAAUACGCAUUGGCCGCCCUUUGGUUUCCUGUAUUACGUACCUACUCGAUGGAAUUCGACUGUCAAUCUCUUGCAGUUCGCCAUAGAUGGCCCGUUAGCUCGGUGCGAUCGAGGGUGAAACUCGAAGAGAGAUUCGUGUCCCCCGUACUUCACGUUUCGUGUCUAUUUCGUGGUCCACGAAUUCUCUCUCGGGCGCUGGGAUGCAGAAAACUAUGAGGGCACGGAGUCAUAGGCUCCUGUUCGUCCGCAAAAGGCUUCAUAGCCUAUUUCGAACGACUUCUGUCCCGUUUCGGCCUCGUACCGUGCGGGUCGAUGUCUGUGAGGAAUGCUAC
rnacentral:misc_RNA from 1 species